GAUGAACGCUGGCGGCGUGCCUAAUACAUGCAAGUCGAGCGAACAGACGAGGAGCUUGCUCCUCUGACGUUAGCGGCGGACGGGUGAGUAACACGUGGAUAACCUACCUAUAAGACUGGGAUAACUUCGGGAAACCGGAGCUAAUACCGGAUAAUAUAUUGAACCGCAUGGUUCAAUAGUGAAAGACGGUUUUGCUGUCACUUAUAGAUGGAUCCGCGCCGCAUUAGCUAGUUGGUAAGGUAACGGCUUACCAAGGCAACGAUGCGUAGCCGACCUGAGAGGGUGAUCGGCCACACUGGAACUGAGACACGGGCCAGACUCCUACGGGAGGCAGCAGUAGGGAAUCUUCCGCAAUGGGCGAAAGCCUGACGGAGCAACGCCGCGUGAGUGAUGAAGGUCUUCGGAUCGUAAAACUCUGUUAUUAGGGAAGAACAAAUGUGUAAGUAACUAUGCACGUCUUGACGGUACCUAAUCAGAAAGCCACGGCUAACUACGUG
rnacentral:rRNA from 1 species